GACCUAACCCGUGGGUUAUCCAUGGCAAGGUCGACAAACCCCAACGAAGACACUGAACCCCGCGUUCAGCCGCUCUUCGUUGGGUUAUGCCGGGAAACUGGCAUAGGGCCGCAAGGCCC
rnacentral:sRNA from 1 species